rnacentral:rRNA from 1 species
UACGAAGGUCCCGAGCGUUGUUCGGAAUCACUGGGCGUAAAGGGAGCGUAGGCGGCGCGGUAAGUCAGAUGUGAAAUCCCGGGGCUCAACCCCGGAACUGCAUCCGAUACUGCCAUGCUAGAGGAUUGGAGAGGUAGCUGGAAUUCACGGUGUAGCAGUGAAAUGCGUAGAUAUCGUGAGGAACACUCGUGGCGAAAGCGAGCUACUGGACAAUUCCUGACGCUGAGGCUCGAAGGCUAGGGUAGCGAAAGGG